rnacentral:rRNA from 1 species
UACGGAGGGUGCAAGCGUUAAUCGGAAUUACUGGGCGUAAAGCGCACGCAGGCGGUUGGAUAAGUUAGAUGUGAAAGCCCCGGGCUCAACCUGGGAAUUGCAUUUAAAACUGUCCAGCUAGAGUCUUGUAGAGGGGGGUAGAAUUCCAGGUGUAGCGGUGAAAUGCGUAGAGAUCUGGAGGAAUACCGGUGGCGAAGGUGGCCCCCGGGACAAAGACUGACGCUCAGGUGCGAAAGCGUGGGGAACAAACAGG